CGGGAGACACAGACUGCUUCCCCUGCCUUCCUCUGUUUUCUUCUUUUGACCUCCUCCAGACUUACCUGGACAGAUUUUAUGGCAGCUGUUUCUUGAUUAUCAUGGAAAAGGUGUUGCUGAGGACUUCCAUAUCCUGUAACAUUGGACAAGGUUGGAUUUAUGCUGACCACCCCUUACCCCCAAAUGGAUUUUGUCCUGGUGCACAAAGAUUAGAUUAC